AUUGAACGCUGGCGGCAGGCCUAACACAUGCAAGUCGAGCGGAUGACGGGAGCUUGCUCCUUGAUUCAGCGGCGGACGGGUGAGUAAUGCCUAGGAAUCUGCCUGGUAGUGGGGGACAACGUUUCGAAAGGAACGCUAAUACCGCAUACGUCCUACGGGAGAAAGCAGGGGACCUUCGGGCCUUGCGCUAUCAGAUGAGCCUAGGUCGGAUUAGCUAGUAGGUGAGGUAAUGGCUCACCUAGGCGACGAUCCGUAACUGGUCUGAGAGGAUGAUCAGUCACACUGGAACUGAGACACGGUCCAGACUCCUACGGGAGGCAGCAGUGGGGAAUAUUGGACAAUGGGCGAAAGCCUGAUCCAGCCAUGCCGCGUGUGUGAAGAAGGUCUUCGGAUUGUUAAGCACUUUAAGUUGGGAGGAAGGGCAGUAAGCGAAUACCUUGCUGUUUUGACGUUACCGACAGAAUAAGCACCGGCUAACUCUGUGCCAGCAGCCGCAGUAAUAC
rnacentral:rRNA from 1 species